rnacentral:lncRNA from 1 species
UUGCUUUUAUGUUAAUUGUAUAUACCUUAUGAGGUCAUGGUGGUUAUACAUUUACAGGUUUUGGAUCUUACAUAUGUGUAACACCAUGAAUUUGUACGAUACGGUUUGGCGUUUUUGAGAUGUUUGCAGCAAAAGGAGAUGAUUGCACACUUAGUAAGUAACAAUAAUAGUGCUUACCACUAAUAUCAAAUGUAUUAAAUAGCUUGCAUUUUCAAAUUUCGUACUACCUCACCCAAACUAUAUAGUAUUGUAUACAUAUCAAUCUGUUAAUAUAAACACAACCAUCAAAAUCUCAACUUAAUAAAUCUUAACGUUUAUAAACCCUCUACACCAAAAAAAAAAAAACUUAAAAACCAUCAAUGUUAUUAUACAUCUCUCUUGCAAAUCUAAACAUAAAAUACAUACAAUGAAAUAUACGAUUAUAUAGUAAUAUACAUCACACGACAAUCAUAUCCCGCGCGUAGUGGA